AGAAUCAACGCUGGCGGCGUGCCUAACACAUGCAAGUCGAACGAGAAAGUGGAGCAAUCCAUGAGUAAAGUGGCGACCGGGUGAGUAACACGUGACUAACCUACCUUCGAGUGGGGGAUAACCUCGGGAAAACCGAGGCUAAUACCGCAUAACAUCGCAAGAUCAAAGCAGCAAUGCGCUGGAAGAGGGGGUCGCGGCUGAUUAGCUAGUUGGCGGGUAACGGCCCACCAAGGCGAAGAUCGGUA
rnacentral:rRNA from 1 species